GGAUUUCUCGGUUACACUACUCAUUGUGUACUGUAGUAUUGAAGUUUUAUUCUAAAGAAUGAUACACUGAAUGUUAAGCUAUAUUGCUCUUAAUUGAAUAUGUGUAAUAGUAUAGAAUUAGCAUUUCAGAGCUUUAAGUUAGUAGUGUAUCAACCUGAUUGUUCUCAUUUUUGCCUGAUUAGCUAUAUUACUAAUGCUACACAAUUGUUUCAUGUCUAGGAAAAACGUGCGAAGAGCAAUCUCAUUUUGUUUUAUACAUUUCGGAAGCAAGAAAAAUACAAAGGUAUAGAGCAAACUUUGACCUCCUAUUUUUUAACAGUACUGGAAUCAAAUGAACUUAUAUAAGUUUUUUAACUAAAAGUUCUGAUUGCUAGGUAUUAGACUUAGAGAUGGUGUGUUCAUUUCUUAAUUUUGACACCAUGUUCUUUGCAGGUUGUUGGACUCAUUUUAGUGAUUUGUGAAGUGUGGUGUGACUGACUGGAGUCCAACACCAUGUUUUCAUCCUUUUGGCAUCAUUGGAGUAGUGUGCUAUUUCUAUUAG
rnacentral:lncRNA from 1 species